UACGUAGGGUGCAAGCGUUGUCCGGAAUUAUUGGGCGUAAAGAGCUCGUAGGCGGUUUGUCGCGUCUGCUGUGAAAACCCGAGGCUCAACCUCGGGCCUGCAGUGGGUACGGGCAGACUAGAGUGCGGUAGGGGAGAUUGGAAUUCCUGGUGUAGCGGUGGAAUGCGCAGAUAUCAGGGAGGAACACCAAUGGCGAAGGCAGAUCUCUGGGCCGUAACUGACGCUGAGGAGCGAAAGCAUGGGGAGCGAACAGG
rnacentral:rRNA from 1 species